CGGGGAAUUUUGGACAAUGGGGGAAACCCUGAUCCAGCCAUCCCGCGUGUGCGAUGAAGGCCUUCGGGGUGUAAAGCACUUUUGGCAGGAAAGAAACGUCAUGGGUUAAUACCCCGUGAAACUGACGGUACCUGCAGAAUAAGCACCGGCUAACUACGUGCCAGCAGCCGCGGUAAUACGUAGGGUGCAAGCGUUAAUCGGAAUUACUGGGCGUAAAGCGUGCGCAGGCGGUUCGGAAAGAAAGAUGUGAAAUCCCGGAGCUCAACUUUGGAACUGCAUUUUUAACUACCGGGCUAGGGUGUGUCAGAGGGAGGUGGAAUUCCGCGUGUAGCAGUGAAAUGCGUAGAUAUGCGGAGGAACACCGAUGGCGAAGGCAGCCUCCUGGGAUAACACUGACGCUCAUGCACGAAAGCGUGGGGAGCAAACAGG
rnacentral:rRNA from 1 species